CCUACGGGAGGCAGCAGUGAGGAAUAUUGGUCAAUGGUCGGAAGGCUGAACCAGCCAAGCAGCGUGAAGGACGAAGGCGCUAAGGAUUGUAAACUGCUUUUGUCCAGGGACAAAAUGAGGCUCGAGAGACUGAUUGUGGGUACUGCAAGAAAAAGGACCGGCUAAUUCCGUGCCAGCAGCCGCGGUAAUACGGAGGAUGCGAGCGUUAUCCGGAUUUAUUGGGUUUAAAGGGUGCGCAGGCGGAUUUUUAAGUCAGCGGUAAAAUCCGGGGGCUCAACCGCGUCCUGCCGCUGAAACUGGGUAUCUUGAGUGCGCGAGAGGUAUGCGGAAUGCGUGGUGUAGCGGUGAAAUGCUUAGAUAUCACGCAGAACCCCGAUUGCGAAGGCAGCAUACGGGUGCACAACUGACGCUGAGGCUCGAAAGCGUGGGUAUCGAACAGGAUUAGAUACCCGAGUAGUC
rnacentral:rRNA from 1 species